AGCGAACGCUGGCGGCAGGCCUAACACAUGCAAGUCGAACGAAGCCUUCGGGCUUAGUGGCGGACGGGUGAGUAACACGUGGGAACGUACCUUUUGGUUCGGAACAACUCAGGGAAACUUGAGCUAAUACCGGAUGAGCCCUUAGGGGGAAAGAUUUAUCGCCGAAAGAGCGGCCCGCGUUAGAUUAGCUAGUUGGUGAGGUAAAGGCUCACCAAGGCAACGAUCUAUAGCUGGUCUGAGAGGAUGAUCAGCCACACUGGGACUGAGGCACGGCCCAGACUCCUACGGGAGGCAGCAGUGGGGAAUCUUGCGCAAUGGGCGAAAGCCUGACGCAGCCAUGCCGCGUGAAUGAUGAAGGUCUUAGGAUUGUAAAAUUCUUUUACCAGGGACGAUAAUGACGGUACCUGGAGAAAAAGCCCCGGCUAACUUCGUGCCAGCCGCCGCCGUAA
rnacentral:rRNA from 1 species